AGUGAACGCUGGCGGUAUGCCUAACACAUGCAAGUCGAACGGCAGCACAGUAAGAGCUUGCUCUUACGGGUGGCGAGUGGCGGACGAGUGAGGAAUACAUCGGAAUCUACUUUUUCGUGGGGGAUAACGUAGGGAAACUUACGCUAAUACCGCAUACGACCUACGGGUGAAAGCAGGGGAUCUUCGGACCUUGCGCGAUUGAAUGAGCCGAUGUCGGAUUAGCUAGUUGGCGGGGUAAAGGCCCACCAAGGCGACGAUCCGUAGCUGGUCUGAGAGGAUGAUCAGCCACACUGGAACUGAGACACGGUCCAGACUCCUACGGGAGGCAGCAGUGGGGAAUAUUGGACAAUGGGCGCAAGCCUGAUCCAGCCAUACCGCGUGGGUGAAGAAGGCCUUCGGGUUGUAAAGCCCUUUUGUUGGGAAAGAAAAGCAGCAGGUUAAUACCCCGCUGUUCUGACGGUACCCAAAGAAUAAGCACCGGCUAACUUCGUG
rnacentral:rRNA from 1 species